rnacentral:snoRNA from 1 species
CCCAACUCAAGAUGGCACCUGGAGAGUUUCCAGUACUCUACCAGUCUCGGUUAUGGGAGGGAGAGUCAAGCAGAGGCAUACCCAUUCCAUUCCUAGCUUGAGCAGUGGCUAGCAAGUGGAAGGCAAUCUGCUACAGGU